rnacentral:rRNA from 1 species
GACAGAGGAUGCAAGCGUUAUCCGGAAUCACUGGGCGUAAAGCGUCUGUAGGUGGUUUAAAAAGUCUAUUGUUAAAAAUUGAAGCUUAACUUCAAAGAUGCAAUGGAAACUUUUAAACUUGAGUAUGGUAGGGGUAGAGGGAAUUUCCAGUGGAGCGGUGAAAUGCGUAGAUAUUGGAAAAGACCACCAAUGGCGAAGGCACUCUACUGGGCCAUUACUGACACUGAGAGACGAAAGCUAGGGGAGCAAAUGGGA